rnacentral:rRNA from 1 species
AAAUUGAAGAGUUUGAUCAUGGCUCAGAUUGAACGCUGGCGGCAGGCCUAACACAUGCAAGUCGAACGGUAACAGGAAGCAGCUUGCUGCUUCGCUGACGAGUGGCGGACGGGUGAGUAAUGUCUGGGAAACUGCCUGAUGGAGGGGGAUAACUACUGGAAACGGUAGCUAAUACCGCAUAACGUCGAAAGACCAAAGAGGGGGACCUUCGGGCCUCUUGCCAUCGGAUGUGCCCAGAUGGGAUUAGCUUGUUGGUGGGGUAAUGGCUCACCAAGGCGACGAUCCCUAGCUGGUCUGAGAGGAUGACCAGCCACACUGGAACUGAGACACGGUCCAGACUCCUACGGGAGGCAGCAGUGGGGAAUAUUGCACAAUGGGCGCAAGCCUGAUGCAGCCAUGCCGCGUGUAUGAAGAAGGCCUUCGGGUUGUAAAGUACUUUCAGCGGGGAGGAAGGGAGUAAAGUUAAUACCUUUGCUCAUUGACGUUACCC